AUUGAACGCUGGCGGCGUGCUUAACACAUGCAAGUCGAGCGGUAACAGGUGUAGCAAUACAUGCUGACGAGCGGCGAACGGGUGAGUAAUGCUUCGGAAUCUUCCUAGUAGUGGGGAAUAACCUGGGCAAACUCAGGCUAAUCCCGCAUACGAACUCCGGUUGAAAGCAGGGGAUCGCAAGACCUUGCGCUCUUCGAUGAGCCGAAGUCGGAUUAGCGAGCUGGGGAGGUAAAGGGUCACCAAGGCGACCAUCCGUACCUGGUCUGAGAGGACGACCAGCCACACUGGACCGGAGACACGGUACAGACUCCUACGGGAGGCAGCAGUGGGGAAUAUUGGACAAUGGGGGCAACCCUGAUCCAGCGACGCCGCGUGUGUGAAGAAGGCCUGCGGGUUGUAAAGCACUUUUAGUGGGGACAAAAAGCCGAGGGCUAAUACUCUUCGGUCUUGAUUUAACCCAAAGAAAAAGCACCGGCUAACUCUGUGCCAGCCGCCGCUGUAAGAC
rnacentral:rRNA from 1 species